rnacentral:rRNA from 1 species
AGAAUCAACGCUGGCGGCGUGCCUAACACAUGCAAGUCGAACGAGAAAGUGGAGCAAUCCAUGAGUACAGUGGCGCACGGGUGAGUAACACGUGACUAACCUACCCUGGAGUGGGGGAUAACUGAGGGAAACCUUAGCUAAUACCGCAUAAUACCUACGGGUCAAAGGAGCAAUUCGCUUUGGGAGGGGGUCGCGGCCGAUUAGUUAGUUGGCGGGGUAAUGGCCCACCAAGACGAUGAUCGGUAUCCGGCCUGAGAGGGCGCACGGACACACUGGAACUGAAACACGGUCCAGACUCCUACGGGAGGCAGCAGUGGGGAAUUUUGCGCAAUGGGGGAAACCCUGACGCAGCAACGCCGCGUGGAGGAUGAAGUACUUCGGUACGUAAACUCCUUUCGAUCGGGACGAUUAUGACGGUACCGGAAGAAGAAGCCCCGGCUAACUUCGUGCCAGCAGCCGCGGUAAUACGAGGGGGGCAAGCGUUGUUCGGAAUUACUGGGCGUAAAGCGUGCGUAGACGGUUACGUAAGUCGGAUGUGAAAUCCCCGGGCUCAACCUGGGAAUUGCAUUCGAGACUGUGUAGCUGGGGUGCGGAAGAGGGAAGCGGAAUUUCCGGUGUAGCGGUGAAAUGCGUAGAUAUCGGAAGGAACAUCAGUGGCGAAAGCGGCUUCCUGGUCCAGCACCGACGUUCAGGCACGAAAGCGUGGGGAGCAAACAGGAUUAGAUACCCUGGUAGUCCACGCCAUAAACGAUGAGUGCUAGACGUCGGGGAGCUUGCUCUUCGGUGUCGCCGCUAACGCAUUAAGCACUCCGCCUGGGGAGUACGGUCGCAAGAUUAAA